GACGAACGCUGGCGGCGUGCCUAAUACAUGCAAGUAGAACGCUGAAGGAGGAGCUUGCUUCUCCGGAUGAGUUGCGAACGGGUGAGUAACGCGUAGGUAACCUGCCUGGUAGCGGGGGAUAACUAUUGGAAACGAUAGCUAAUACCGCAUAAGAGUAGAUGUUGCAUGACAUUUGCUUAAAAGGUGCAAUUGCAUCACUACCAGAUGGACCUGCGUUGUAUUAGCUAGUUGGUGAGGUAACGGCUCACCGAGGCAACGAUACAUAGCCGACCUGAGAGGGUGAUCGGCCACACUGGGACUGAGACACGGCCCAGACUCCUACGGGAGGCAGCAGUAGGGAAUCUUCGGCAAUGGACGGAAGUCUGACCGAGCAACGCCGCGUGAGUGAAGAAGGUUUUCGGAUCGUAAAGCUCUGUUGUAAGAGAAGAACGAGUGUGAGAGUGGAAAGUUC
rnacentral:rRNA from 1 species